GUGUUGGCACAUGUUCAUGUGUGUGUCUGUUGACUAAGGAGGAGCAGAGGGAGUUGAUUGAGACUCAGUAUCCACAGUGGAUUGAAAAGGCACCCACGGCAGCAGACAUAUGGACUACCGUGAAGGGCUUGCUGCGUGAUAAGCUGAGUGAUCAGAUAGGUCCCAUGCUGGAGGCUUUAGGGGACUGUGACCCUCGACAGACAGGAUCUGUUCACAAUGAAGACCUGAGAAGGAUCAUACAUUGUUACGGCCUGCCCCUCUCACACACACACUUCAACAAACUGAACUAUCAAGCCCAGGAUGCCUUAGUGAACAACAAGCCAGUGUGUUCCCCCAGCGCCACUGUAGGGGGUCCAAGGGUUCGCAUGGUGGAGAACAUUAUGUUCAGGAAGCUCAA